GAGAGGAGCUAGACAAGUAGUGGUCUCAGAAGAUUGAGGAGAGCACCACAGUGGUCACCACGCAGUCCGCUGAGGUUGGAGCUGCUGCGAUG
rnacentral:pre_miRNA from 1 species